rnacentral:rRNA from 1 species
AUUGAACGCUGGCGGAAUGCUUUACACAUGCAAGUCGAACGAUGAACCUUAGCUUGCUAAGGGGAUUAGUGGCGAACGGGUGAGUAAUAUAUCGGAACGUACCUUGUAAUGGGGGAUAACUAGUCGAAAGAUUAGCUAAUACCGCAUACGCCCUGAGGGGGAAAGUAGGGGAUCUUCGGACCUUACGUUAUAAGAGCGGCCGAUAUCUGAUUAGCUAGUUGGUGGGGUAAUGGCCUACCAAGGCGACGAUCAGUAGCUGGUCUGAGAGGACGACAGCCACACUGGAACUGAGACACGGUCCAGACUCCUACGGGAGGCAGAAGUGGGGAAUUUGGACAAUGGGCGCAAGCCUGAUCCAGCCAUUCCGCGUGAGUGAAGAAAGCCUUCGGGUUGUAAAGCUCCUUCGCAAGGGAAGAAAACUUACAUUCUAAUAAAGUGUGAGGCUGACGGUACCUUGAUAAGAAGCACCGGCUAACUACGUGCCAGCCGCCGCGGUAACAC